rnacentral:misc_RNA from 1 species
AAGUCGUAACAUAGGUGAACCUGCGGAAAAGAUCAUUAACACGUAUCCAACGUUACAACAGAGACCUGCUCCCCUCAAUUUCGGUCUUUUGACAAUUCCUGGUAAAUCAUCGUCAAACAGUUUUUGAUUCAGGGACAUCCAAAGGGCCGGGUAGGGUAUUAAAGUAGUAGUCCCCCCAAGCGACCUGGUUUCUUUGAAGCAGAAAGUGUGAUGGAGUGAAGCCUGAGAACGGACCGAGUGGUAGUUCGAAGGUGACAGCUGUCGCGCACUGUGGAAAGGAAGACGCUUUACGAAUCACUGUCCAACACGGCCAGUGCGGGUUCCUGGUCCUAGACCCCAUAUCACCACCACAGUCGCAGACGUCCCUACCAAAUAAAUACUUGAACAACUGUUAACAAUGGAUAUCUUGGUUCUC